rnacentral:sRNA from 1 species
UCUACCGAAGUCAAGCAGCCUUCCUUGG